GGUGGUUAAUAAGUAACUCGGGGGAAAUGUGCUGCUCCGUGCAGCACAGCGCUGCCGCGGCAGGGGAUGCGCUGGGGCCGCUACCUGGGGCAGCACAAAAAGCAGAGCUAGAGGCAGAAAGAAGCGAGCAGGAUGCCUCUCCCUCGGCCCCCUGCCUGGAGAUGGGCUUUGGGGUAGAGCAGCCCUCCCAGCCUCGGGGAUCCCUCUCUUUUCUCCCUUCAGGGCUAGGUGAACAGGCAGGAUCCCCUUGAUCCAUCCCGGAGAAGCAUCUUCUCAAAUAUCCUCGAGGCAGAGAUAGCACUUCUGUCCGCUCCCGAGUCUACUGAAGCGUAACGCAGCCAGGCAAGGGAGAGCCUCGAUCUCUGUAUUGCUUGUGCAACGGUGUGAG
ensembl:lncRNA